rnacentral:lncRNA from 1 species
AUGGGACAUGAUCGUAUGAUUAGUUCUCUCCUUCAAAGCAUUGCUAAAACGAAGAAUUGAGGUAGUAUGGAGUGUGACUAUCUAUUCACCUCAAUUGUAAGGCUAACUUGAAAAUAAGGUUUCUUGUUGGAGUUUGUUAAUUUGGCAGAAAUCCUUCGAUGUUCAAAUCAGUCGGAAUUUUAAAAAUAAUAAAAGAGAAAGAGUGUAAGAGUAGAUAGUAGG